rnacentral:rRNA from 1 species
UACGAAGGGGGCUAGCGUUGCUCGGAAUCACUGGGCGUAAAGGGUGCGUAGGCGGGUCUUUAAGUCAGGGGUGAAAUCCUGGAGCUCAACUCCAGAACUGCCUUUGAUACUGAAGAUCUUGAGUCCGGGAGAGGUGAGUGGAACUGCGAGUGUAGAGGUGAAAUUCGUAGAUAUCGAGAGGAACACCGGUGGCGAAGGCGGCCAACUGGACGAAUACUGACGCUGAGACUCGAAAGCGUGGGGAGCAAACAGG